rnacentral:rRNA from 1 species
UACGUAGGGUGCGAGCGUUGUCCGGAAUUAUUGGGCGUAAAGGGCUCGUAGGCGGUUUUGUCGCGUCGGGAGUGAAAACCCAGGGCUUAACUCUGGGCUUGCUUUCGAUACGGGCAGACUAGAGGUAUGCAGGGGAGACUGGAAGUUCCUGGGUGUAGCGGUGAAAUGACGCAGAGUAUCAGGAGGAACACCGAUGGGCGAAGGCAGGUCUCUGGGCAUUAACUGACGCUGAGGAGCGAAAGCAUGGGGAGCGAACAGG